rnacentral:rRNA from 1 species
AUGGAGAAGAAGGUAAAAGAAGAUGCCAAUUUUUUCUAUUCAAUUCAAGUUGAUGAGGAUGAUCUGAUAACUAAUAUUUUCCGGGCUGAUUCGAAAAUGAUAUCAGACUAUGCAAUGUUUGGUGAUGUUAUAUGCUUUGACACCACAUAUAGGAAACUAGAUGAUGGGCGUCCCUUUGGUUUGAUUGUUGGGGUGAAUAAUCACAAGAAAACCAUGGUCUUUGGUGCUACACUUCUCUAUGAUGAAACUGCUGAAAGUUUUGGUUGGCUUUUUAGAACAUUUCUAACAGCUAUGUCUGGGAAACAUCGAAGGACUAUUCUGACCGAUGAAGAUGCAGCAAUGGCCAAGGCAAUCAGUAAAGUCCUUCCUCAGUCUCACCAUAGACUUUGUGUGUGGCAUAUGAAUCAAAAUGCUUGCAAGCACCUUGCUGGGGUUGUUGAAGAAUAUAAGAAGUUCAAUGCCGAUUUCCAGCAUUGCAUCUAUGAUAUUGAGGAAGAAGACGAUUUUAUAAAUGAAUGGAAUAGAAUGCUAGACAGGUAUGGACUCCGUGACAAUAUGUGGCUGCAAAGGCUGUUUGAGAAAAGGGAGCAAUGGGCACUAGUGUAUGGCAGAAAUACAUUCUCAGCCCACAUGAGCACUACCCAAAGAAGUGAAAGCAUGAAUAAUGAACUAAAGCGGUACAUUAGUAUUAAAUAUGACAUGCUUAUUUUUUUUGAGCAUUUUGAGCGUCUAGUUGCAGAUAAAAGAUUUGUAGAGGUGAAGUGUGACUUCAAGGCGUCACAAACUACUCCCAAGCUGAAGGCAGAAGUUAGCUAUGUGUUAAGGCAAGCCGCAACUACAUAUACUCCCGCAAUAUUCAAGAUGUUUCAGGAGCAAGUGCUUCGGACCCUGAACUAUGACAUAUUUCUUUGUGAUUCAAGUGAUAAAGAGAAGAAGGUUUACACAGUAAAAUUUCAUGGAACGCAGCGCGAGCAUGUUAUCAGUUUUUAUCCAAAUGAAGAAAAGGUCAAUUGCAGUUGCAAGAAGUUUGAAUUUGCUGGAAUCCUCUGCUCUCAUUGCUUAAAGAUACUUGAUAUUAAUAAUAUCAAGCAUAUCCCUGAACAAUAUAUACUGAAAAGAUGGACAAUUGAUGCGAAAGUGCUAGAGAUAACAAGCAAUCGCAAUCUGCAUGAAGAUCUAAAAGCAAGAAUGUCGAACUUUUACAAGGACUUGUGUAGAAUGUUUAUCCACAUAGCUGCUCGCGCCGCAGAGUCCGAUGAAACAUAUGAUAUGGCUGCUAAAUGUGCAGAGCAGCUAGCACGAGAUGUAGAGCAAAGCUUGAAAAUUAGAGUUGAUCCAGACCCAAAUCCAGAUUUGGGUGACUCCUCUGUUUCGCAAGUCUGA